rnacentral:ncRNA from 1 species
ACCAAGGAGUCUAACAUGUGCGCGAGCCGCGGGGCAGUACGAAACCCGUAAGGCGAAAUGAAGGUGAACGCCGGCGCGGUCCGGCGGAGGUUGGAUCCCGUCCCGUCGGGGCGGGCGCACUACCGGCCGAUCUUCUCCGCCCUGUCGGCGAGGUCGAGCGAGAGCGUGCAAGUCGGGACCCGAAAGAUGGUGAACUAUGCCUGAGGAGGUUGAAGCCAGAGGAAACUCUGGUGGAGGACCGUAGCGAUUCUGACGUGCAAAUCGAUCGUCAAAUUUGGGUAUAGGGGCGAAAGACUAAUCGAACCGUCUAGUAGCUGGUUCCCUUCGAAGUUUCCCUCAGGAUAGCUGGCGCUCUGUCGCAGUUUUAUCUGGUAAAGCGAAUGAUUAGAGGUCUUGGGGGCGAAACGCCCUCAACCUAUUCUCAAACUUUAAAUUGGUAAGAAGCCCGACUCGCUCGUUUGGAGCCGGGCAUGGAAUGCGAGUGCCAAGUGGGCCACUCUUGGUAAGCAGGACUGGCGAUGCGGGAUGAACCGAACGCCGGGUUAAGGCGCCCGACGCGACGCUCAUCAGAGCCCACAAAAGGUGUUGGUUGAUAUAGACAGCAGGACGGUGGCCAUGGAAGUCGGAAAC